UACGUAGGGUGCAAGCGUUAUCCGGAAUGAUUGGGCGUAAAGCGUCCGCAGGUGGCAAUGUAAGUCUGCUGUCAAAGCGUCUGGCUCAACCAGAUAAAGGCAGUGGAAACUACAUAGCUAGAGUAAGGUAGGGGUAGAGGGAAUUCCUGGUGUAGCGGUGAAAUGCGUAGAGAUCAGGAAGAACACCGGUGGCGAAAGCGCUCUGCUGGACCUUAACUGACACUGAGGGACGAAAGCUAGGGGAGCGAAUGGG
rnacentral:rRNA from 1 species